GCUCCCUUCGUCUAGCGGUUAGGACGCCGGCCUCUCACGCCGGUAACAGGGGUUCGAUUCCCCUAGGGAGCG
rnacentral:tRNA from 1 species